rnacentral:rRNA from 1 species
UACGAAGGGAGCUAGCGUUGUUCGGAAUUACUGGGCGUAAAGGGCGCGUAGGCGGUUUUAUAAGUUUGGUGUGAAAGCCCUGGGCUUAACCUAGGAAUAGCAUUGGAUACUGUAAGACUUGAGACCGAGAGAGGGAAAUGGAAUUGCGAGUGUAGAGGUGAAAUUCGUAGAUAUUCGCAAGAACACCAGUGGCGAAGGCGAUCUCCUGGCUCGGUACUGACGCUAAGGCGCGAAAGCGUGGGGAGCAAACAGG